AAAGUCAUUCCCGGGAAUCUAGCGGCGCUAGAGCCUACAUUUACAGCCUGUGCGCCCCCCGAGCGUGCCAUCGUCUGUCGCCUUGCGGCCUCGGCGGCCGAGUGCUCAGCAUCGCCGGGAGGAGGGGGAGACAGGAUUGAUCUCUCUCGCCUUCCCCUCGGUGUAUUUGUUUGCGGGGGCUCAGGUUGCUUUCCCCCUUUUGGCAAAGGAGAGCGAUGCAAGCCGGCAGAUACCUUGGGAGCGAGGAGGGUAUUUUGGGGAGUUGCAGUGUUGUGCGGAACAUCAUGUCUGUGCCCUGUGGUGCUGUCAGCGGUGACAGAUCCCAGAUGCAGUCGCUACUGUAUGGCAGAUUGAGUUUCUCAGCAGAAAACUCUCUCCCUCCCUCCCAAACGUCUUCAAAAACCUUCUCCAGAUACUGCGGGUCACUUCGGCUCAAACGGGGAGAGAAAGGGGGGAAAAAAGGCUUUUCUUCUCUCCUCCCUCUCUCUUCCUCCCGCCGGAUCUCUCUGGGGUGCGCGGGGGGCUGUGACCGGGCCCGUGUGCACCCGAGGCCCGAGGCGACCCCUCUCACCCUGGUCGUGCCGGGAGCCCGUCGCCGAGCACGGGGACCGUGGUCCAGAAGGAGCCUGUCAUUUUAUCCCGGGGUUUCUCGGAAACGCUGA
rnacentral:lncRNA from 1 species